rnacentral:rRNA from 1 species
UACGUAGGUGGCAAGCGUUGUCCGGAAUCAUUGGGCGUAAAGCGCGUGUAGGCGGCUAGGUAAGUCUGCUCUGAAAGCCCGGGGCUCAACCCCGGGAGGCGGGUGGAUACUGUCUAGCUCGAGUCCGGAAGAGGAGUGUGGAAUUCCUGGUGUAGCGGUGAAAUGCGCAGAUAUCAGGAGGAACACCAAUGGCGAAGGCAGCACUCUGGGACGUGACUGACGCUGAGACGCGAAAGCGUGGGGAGCAAACAGG